rnacentral:rRNA from 1 species
CAGUCGAGCGAGAAAGGUCCCUUCGGGGGCUGAGUACAGCGGCGGACGGGUGAGGAACACGUGGGUAACCUGCCCUCGAGUCGGGAAUAACUCCGGGAAACCGGGGCUAAUACCGGAUGAUGAUCGUGACCUUGCGGGGACACGGUCCAAAGCUAGCCUAUCCAUGGAAGCUGGCGCUUGAGGAGGGGCCCGCGGCCUAUUAGCUUGUUGGUGGGGUAACGGCCUACCAAGGCAACGAUGGGUAGCCGGCCUGAGAGGGUGGCCGGCCACACUGGGACUGAGACACGGCCCAGACUCCUACGAGAGGCAGCAGUGGGGAAUUUUGCGCAAUGGGGGAAACCCUGACGCAGCGACGCCGCGUGGAGGAUUAAGGCCUUCGGGUCGUAAACUCCUGUCAGGUGGGAAGAAAAAGCAGCGGUUAAUACCCGUUGCCCUUGACUGUACCACCAGAGGAAGCCCCGGCUAACUCCGUGCCAGCAGCCGCGGUAAUACGGAGGGGGCAAGCGUUGUUCGGAAUUACUGGGCGUAAAGGGCGUGUAGGCGGUUUGUCUAGUCAGGCGUGAAAGCCCCGGGCUUAACCUGGGAACUGCGUUUGAUACUGACAGGCUAGAGGUUGGGAGAGGAGAGUGG